rnacentral:rRNA from 1 species
UAAUAGCGUAUAUUAAUGUUGUUGCAGUUAAAAAGCUCGUAGUUGGAUUUUGGAGUUUGACAAGUGGUCUGCCUAAGGUGUGUACUGCUUGUCGGCUCUUCUUUUCUGGGGACCACGCUGCUCUUUAUUGAGGGGUGCUGGGAAUCAGAUCUUUUACUUUUGAAAAAAUUAGAGUGUUCAAAGCAGGCCCACGCAUUGAAUACAUUAGCAUGGAAUAAUGGAAUAGGACUUUGGUCUUAUUUUGUUGGUUCUAAGGCCGAGGUAAUGAUUAAUAGGGAUAGUUGGGGGCGUUUAUAUUCCAUUGUCAGAGGUGAAAUUCUUGGAUUUAUGGAAGAUAAACUACUGCGAAAGCAUUCGCCAAGGAUGUUUUCAUUAAUCAAGAACGAAAGUUAGGGGAUCGAAGACGAUUAGAU